UCAUAGAAUUUCUUUAAAUUCAUGAUGUCGUAAGGGAAAAUAAUGAUAAUACCUUACUAUGAGUGUCGUCCAAAUCUGGUGCCAGAAGACUCGGUAAGACCAGAGACGCAAACGUUAAUCAUCAUAAACAGGCGUAAAGGGUUUGUAGGCAGCUUUUAUAAGAUUCAAAAGGUAAUUUAAUUGAAAGCUAGAAUCAAAAAGAGGUUAUAGUGUAUAACGCCUAGAGGAGGGCUGAUAUCCAUAGAUCCUAGGCAGAAUACUCAGGGCGAAGGCCACUCUCCACUAAUGAUUGACGCUGAGAAACGAAGGUUAGGGUAGGAAAUAGGAUUAGAUACCCCGGUACUCCUUUCUGUAAACGAUGAAUGGUAGUCAUUAGUUAAAUUAAAUAACUAGAGGCGAAGUUAACACAAUAACCAUUCCGCCUUGUGAGUACUACUGCAAAGUAGAAAACAAAAAAAUUAGUCGGUCUCGAAGCAAACGGAGUGAAGCAUGUUAUUUA
rnacentral:rRNA from 1 species